AUUUUUUCCUAUUGGUUUGUUCCAAGUCACGUGACUUUCAAGGUCUCGGCGGUCAGAACAAAAAACAUGGCGGACAGUAUCAAUAUUUUGACUUAGUUUCUGCAUAAAAAUGGAUUUUGAUCACAUUUCUAGCGAGAAAUAUAUGUUUUAUUUUCUAAAUAUUCACUCAGUGAAUGUACAUAAUCACUUUGUGUGUUGGAAUAGCCACGGGAUAUGACUGUCAUUAACUUGCAUUGUAGCGAAAUCCGUGUCAGUUUCACGGAAAUUUGAGUGAUUCCGUGGCUAUUCCACGGAUUUUGAGUUAACCCUUUAUCGGGCGAAGAACCGAAUUUAGUAACUUCAGCGGAUAUCCAAAAUAAAAAAUAAAAAUAUUUUGAGAAAAAAGUUGCAAAUUUACCCUAUUAAAGUGGCAGAUCUACAAGAAAAAAGGUCGCAGAUGUAAGGGAUUUAAAGUGGCAAAUCUGCGUGGAAAAAAGUUGCAGAUUUACGAGAAAAAAGCAACUUUUUUCACAUUUAUGCAUUCUGGCUGUAUGUAAUAUCCUCCAAUAUUCUCUAGGGUUGAAAUUUGGAAUUUGCAAGUAUUUCAAUGAGUGCCCUAUUAAGGGUUAAGCGAAUCCGUGUCUAUUCCACGGAUUCCUGUGAGACCAGGUUGGUUUGUGAUUGUGUGGCAACGAAUGUAAAGCGAAGCUGCUGUUAUUUGUUAUUUUUUCUCAAAAUGGGCGCCUGCUAAUGUGUGUGACGGCUGGGCGGGGCGUUGUGACAGCAGCUCUGCUCUCUGCACCGCUCAGCCUCCAGGAUCGCUCAGUCACUUAAUGAAAAAGAGAGUGGACUUGUUGCAAGUCACUGAUGCAGAAAACAGAUUAACUCGGCAGGGCUGUACUCGCCCAAUAUCAUGUACAACAAAAGCAGCACCUCAAGUGGUCGGCAGGAGGGGAGAAAGCACAGGAGGGAUGGAGAAGGACUCAGUUAUCUGGGCUGAAAACCAGAGCACUAAGUAUUUAUUUGUAUAAUUCAAUUGGCUUUAUUGGCAUGACAUAACAAUGUAUAUAUUGCCAAAGCAAGCAUCAGAAAUAAAGAUAACAAGAUAAGGAAAGCAAUAUUUACAAUAAAUUAUUAUAAUUCUGUCAUUCAUUUUAAAAGAAAAGAAAAACUAAUAACAAUAAAAGAAAGCAAUAUUUACAAUCAUUGAAUUACAAUCAACAUAUAAUUUAUACAAUCUAACUGUAUAUAUCACUUCAACUUGCUAUUAUCUUUGUUGCACGAUAGAUCAUACAGCAAACUAUUCUACAUAUGCAAAGCAAACUUAACAUGCAUACACACAAAGUUAUAAUCAAAACUUGGAAUUCAUUUUGACACAAUUGUUUCAUGAAAAAAGGGUAGAUAAAAGGUGCGUAGAACAGUUGAUGCACAAAAAAAAAGACACAAAAUUACUAAAAAAGACACAAAAUUACUAAAAAAAGACACAGUGAUUCAAAGAAGACACAAAAUAAACCAAAAAGACUCUCUUUUCCAUUUAUUUUAAACAUAACAUACAUUGAAACCCCAAAAACAACAUAGAGCAUGUAUGUUAUGCAGUAAACCAGCAAUUUAUUAGGUUAAUGCAAAAACAUAAAGACACAAAUUGAGCAAAAUAGACGUAAAAUGACCCAAAAAAAGACACAAAUUGACCAAAAAAUACAUGUAAAAUGGCCAAAAGAGAAACAAAUAGACCAAAAAAGACGUAAAAUGACAAAAAGGUACAUCUGUUUGGACAAAUAUAAUGAUAACAACAAAAAUAGCUGAUAAGAGUUUAAUUUAAGAGCUGAUAUCUAGACAUUUAACAUGGUUUUAUUGAUAAUGAUAUUGGAUAUUAUCAAGACUGUUUCCAUGACUGUAGAUGUAAAAAUGAUCAAAAAUGAUUAGACCACCCUUGUUUUCUUCAGUUUAUUGUUUAUUUUAAUGCCUGAUACAACUAAAGGUACAUUUACACAGUUAUAAUUAAAACUCGGAAUACAUUUUGACACAAUUGUUUCAUGAAAAAGAUUAAGAAUUACUUCCAUAAUGAUUGAUUGAUUGAUUGAUUGAGAAUUUAUUUGAACACAACAUAAAAGAUGAACAAUUAAAAACAAAUGGACAACAAUAAAUACAAGACAACACAAAAUGAAACAACAAUUAAUAACUAAUUUAAUUUACUAUAUUCAGUUAUAUAACAACAAUAAUAUUUAUAUCUAUGUAUUGUAUGUAUAACACAUAGUAAUGUAGUUUAUAAACUUGUUAUUACCAUUAUUAACAUGCAUACACACAAAGUUAUAAUUAAAACUUGAAAUUCAUUUUGACACAAUUGUUUCAUGAAAAAAAGACGUAAAAUGACAAAAAGGUACAUCUGUUUGGACAAAUAUAAUGAUAACAACAAAAAUAGCUGAUAAGAGUUUAAUUUAAGAGCUGAUAUCUAGACAUUUAACAUGGUUUUAUUGAUAAUGAUUUUGGAUAUUAUCAAGACUGUUUUCAUGACUAUAGAUGUAAAAAUGAUCAAAAAAGACACAAAUGACCAAAAAUAGAUGUAAAAAUGAUCAAAAAUGAUUAGACCACCCUUGUUUUCUUCAGUUUAUUGUUUAUUUUAAUGGCUGAUACAACUAAAGGUACAUUUACACAAAGUUAUAAUUAAAACUUGGAAUUCAUUUUGACACAAUUGUUUCAUGAAAAAGAUUAAGAAUUACUUCCAUAAUGAUUGAUUGAUUGAUUGAGAAUUUAUUUGAACACGACAUAAAAGAUGAACAAUUAAAAAGAAACGAACAACAAUAAAUACAAGACAACAACACAAAAUGAAACAACAACAAGACUCAACACUUAUUUGUGUUCAAAAGGAGUCAAAACUUAUUAAAUCCCUUCUCCCUAUGUUAAUUUACUAUAUUCAUAUAUUUAACAACAAUAAUAUUUAUAUAUGUAUGUAUAACACAUAGUAAUGUAGUCACAAUGAGACAACAAUGAACAAACAAACAAACAAACAACAACAAACACAAAAAAAGAAAAAUAGUACUAAUACAUUUAAAUAAAUAAAACAUCAACAAUAACCACCUACUGUCAUUUCACACACCCGUUUUCAUCCCUAUAUCAUGUGAAGACAUGCUCUUUAAAUUAGAUUUUGAAGUGUUUAGGCAAUAAGCACAUGUAUUAGUCGAUUUACUCAAUCAACAGCAAACUGAGUCCAGGUAACCACAGUAACGGUUGCCAGGUUACAAUUGGCAACAAUUUUAUUUUAUUGGCAACCAAUUCUUGGCUUCACUAUUUACAUGCAGUAUGAAAAAAAUAGGGACAGCAAACAGCAAAAGGUGCACCAAAUAAUAAAUACAUUUUAGAGAUAUUUAAAUACUGUAUUUAAGUAUUAUUUUAUUAUUAUAUUCAUACUUUAUAUUAUACAUAUUUUUUUAUACUAGGAAUUAAAGGUGGACUCAUUAAGGUAUCAGAUAAAUAAUUUUGGUGCUUUACAGUAAUAAAGCUUUUUUUUUUUGUCACAUUUUCAUGAUUUAGCUGACAUAUAACUACAUAGUAUAUUUAUUACUCAAAAUAUAAGGCAUAUUUUCAGUUUCAGCAACCAAAACAAGGUAGUGCUGAACCCUGGUCACACAAAAAAAUAAAAAAUGAUCAAUUUUUUCAAGAAAAAAGUGAAAAUUUAGUUCCAGCCAGUCAGAUUUGCAGAUUUGUUUAAUAAAAUAAUUGAUCUUCCAUGACUACAUGUGUGAUUCCUAUUUAACAAUUGCUUUAUAUUGAUGCUAGGUCUGUUAUAGUGAGAGUAUUCCACAUAUUGACUCCCUGAGCACACCUGACAUUUGUCCUAAGGAGGUUUUUACAGAAGGACACAUUAUAUUUUCUCACAGAAAAACCUUGAGUUAGUGAGCCAGGAACCUCAAGAGGUUUCAUUAUAUCAUGGCAGCACCUUAGAUACCUGGCUACGUAGGUAUUUAUUACAACUGCUUUAAUUGAUUUUUUUGUGUCUGGCUGUAAACAGCACUGACAGAUACGUGAGCACACAGUUCUUUGUCUUUAACAUCCAAUAGAGUUGUGUUUUUAGGCUUUACAAAUUAUUCUGUAGUCAUUUCAUUUACUUAAUAUAUUUGAUAAAAUGUAUUGAAUAAAAACACGUCCUUGAUUUUGAGGCAGUUGUUUAAGUAACUUUAAUAUAAAAAAUGUUUGAGAUAGAAUCUACUUAUUUUGAUCACAUUAAAUAUAAUCUUUAUGUGUAUGUAAUUCUAAAUGAAGAGAAUUUUGAAUGAAUCAUUCAUUUCCCAUUUUAUUUCAUGCUGGCUGUGUAACUAUGUUUGUCUUAUUUUGAAGGUUUAACUUUAAAAGAGUUGUUAGAACCACCAGGUAACAUUGGAAAAUCAAAUAU